CGUAACGCGUAUAGAAUCUGCCUUUAACAGGAGCAUAGCCCGAAGAAACCUGGAUUAAUACCCCAUAACAUUUAAAUUUGGCAUCAGAUUUAAAUUAAAACUCCGGUGGUUUGAGAUGGGCAUGCGUGACAUUAGCUAGUUGGUAAGGUAAUGGCUUACCAAGGCUACGAUGUCUAGGGGUUCUGAGAGGAUGAUCCCCCACACUGGUACUGAGACACGGACCAGACUCCUACGGGAGGCAGCAGUGAGGAAUAUUGGUCAAUGGGCGCAAGCCUGAACCAGCCAUCCCGCGUGUAGGAAGACUGCCCUAUGGGUUGUAAACUACUUUUAUAAAGGAAGAAACCCUCUUACGUGUAAGAGGCUGACUGUACUUUACGAAUAAGCACCGGCUAACUCCGUGCCAGCAGCCGCGGUAAUACGGAGGGUGCAAGCGUUAUCCGGAUUUAUUGGGUUUAAAGGGUGCGUAGGCGGGCCUUUAAGUCAGUGGUGAAAUCCUGCAGCUUAACUGUAGAACUGCCAUUGAUACUGAAGGCCUUGAGUAUAGUUGAGGUAGGCGGAAUGUGUAAUGUAGCGGUGAAAUGCUUAGAUAUUACACAGAACACCGAUUGCGUAGGCAGCUUACUAAGCUAUAACUGACGCUGAUGCACGAAAGCGUGGGGAGCGAACAGGAUUAGAUACCCUGGUAGUCCACGCCGUAAACGAUGAUCACUCGUUGUUGGCGAUACACAGUCAGCGACUGAGCGAAAGCAUUAAGUGAUCCACCUGGGGAGUACGGUCGCAAGAUUGAAACUCAAAGGAAUUGACGGGGGCCCGCACAAGCGGAGGAACAUGUGGUUUAAUUCGAUGAUACGCGAGGAACCUUACCUGGGCUUAAAUGUAGAGUGCAUAAACGGGAAACUGUUUUUUCCUUCGGGACUCUUUACAAGGUGCUGCAUGGUUGUCGUCAGCUCGUGCCGUGAGGUGUCGGGUUAAGUCCCAUAACGAGCGCAACCCCUACUGUUAGUUGCCAUCGGGUCAUGCCGGGGACUCUAACGGGACUGCCGGUGUAAACCGCGAGGAAGGUGGGGAUGACGUCAAAUCAGCACGGCCCUUAUGUCCAGGGCUACACACGUGUUACAAUGGCCGAUACAAUGAGCAGCUACCAGGCAACUGGAUGCUAAUCUCCAAAGUCGGUCUCAGUUCGGAUCGGAGUCUGCAACUCGACUCCGUGAAGUUGGAUUCGCUAGUAAUCGGAUAUCAGCCAUGAUCCGGUGAAUACGUUCCCGGGCCUUGUACACACCGCCCGUCAAACCAUGGAAGUUUGGGGUACCUGAAGUACGUGACCGUAAGGAGCGUCCUAGGGUAAAUCAGAUGACUGGGGCU
rnacentral:rRNA from 1 species